rnacentral:snoRNA from 1 species
CUCACAUCUAAACCCAAGAACCGCAGUUUCUCCAAACAGCAGUGCUAACAUCAAGCGAACCUCAUCACCUUUGGGGGCUAUGCUGUGCCCCUCAGAGUGAUGUGGAGGUUCUUCACUC